UUUGCUGCCUCUUCCCAUUGGCUAUAACUGCAUCUUGCACUGGGAUUUUGGUUACCUACUCUUACUGCUGCUGCACUUGUUGCCAUUGUUACUCCGCUGACUUCCCUUUUUCUUCAAUUGUCAAACAUUUCCAGGUACACAACUUCUGAAACCAUAUGUUGUUGAAAGUUUGAAGUUGAAGCAGAAAUAAAGAAACGAAUGUCUGUUUAUGUUAUAAUACUUGUGUUCAAAAACAGGCACGCGACCCCGCAUUGAACUUUGCUUAUUUGUUGGAGAUUAUUCAAAGAUUGAAGCUUUAUUGAUCGGAAUUUUUUCCUAUGGUAUUGGUUGCUUCCUUGGAUGAUGUUUGGUUAGAUUCUAACCGGUUGAAGGUGAUCUAUCAAGGACAAGCAAUUUUGGAGCUUUGAUUUGCUCAGAUUUGGGGUGAUUUAUAUAUAUGAGGUGAUGAGCAUAAACACAUUUGCCAUGUGUAUUCAUACUUGGGAUAUGGACCGAGGUUAUGGAACAAGGUUUAUGUCAUGCGGAUAUUUUGAUAUCAUAUUAAUUUAGCGCAAGAUUUGAGAGAUGUGUUGCACUGGGAGACUAAGCCUAGCAUUGAAUACGUACCGGUGUUCCAGAUUCAAGCUACCACUAUUUCAUGGUAGUUUAGGACUUAUAUUUCUAUUUAUCUAAAUUUCAAAACAUAUGAUGUAUCUUUCUCAAACCAGAAUUGUAUUCUUAUUCUUAGUGGCUUAUGACUUGUACUACCGUCCUUGAGAUAGUUGUACUGGCUUUCGCAGCCUUAUUUAUUAUUUAUUGAUAUUUUAUUGUUAUAGUUG